GAAGUAUGGUGCUGGCAUUGGUCCUGGUGUCUACGACAUCCACUCCCCCAGGAUCCCGUCCACGGAGGAGAUUGCGGACCGCAUCAACAAGAUGCUUGCGGUGCUCGACACUAACAUUCUCUGGGUGAACCCUGACUGCGGUCUCAAGACCCGCAAGUACAACGAGGUCAAGCCCGCCCUUACCAACAUGGUUUCGGCCGCCAAGCUCAUCCGCACCCAGCUCGCCAGCGCGAAGUGAGGAUAUCCAUAGCUGCAAGUUCCCUUCGGUUGCGAGGACGAUGCCGUCA
rnacentral:misc_RNA from 1 species